UCUGGUCCCUCGACCCCGACGACAUCAAGAAGCCCGCCACAGUUUAUGAUGGCAAUUCUACCCCCUUGACCGGUGUCGCCCCAUUCAGCUACUUCAAAAUUCUCGGGCCGACGCACUCACCGACCAGUUUCAUUAUUAAAUCCCUGUUGUUAAAGAAAUUUUCCCUCGAGUCCCCUUCGAAGCUGUGGGAGCCCUCAGUGGCAGCUCGGCGGCCGCUGAACUUGCGGGCCAUUGUUUCCCUUCUCCUCCUCCUCUCGAUCCGCAACAUCCCCUCG
rnacentral:lncRNA from 1 species